rnacentral:rRNA from 1 species
UACCUGCAGCUCUAGUGGUGACCGCUAUUAUUGGGCCUAAAACGUCCGUAGCCGGCUUAUUAAAUGCCUGGGUAAAUCGUACGGCUUAACCGUACGAAUUCCGGGUAGACUGAUAGGCUUGGGACCGGGAGAAGCUAGAGGUACUCCUGGGGUAGAGGUGAAAUUCUGUAAUCCUAGGGGGACCACCAGUGGCGAAGGCGUCUAGCUAGAACGGGUUUGACGGUGAGGGACGAAGCCCUGGGGAGCAAACGGGAUUAGAUACCCCGGUAGUCCAGGGUGUAAACGCUGCUUGCUUGAUGUUAGUCGGGCUCCGAGCCCGAUUAGUGUCGGAGAGAAGUUGUUAAGCAAGCUGCCUGGGAAGUACGGCCGCAAGACUGAAACUUAAAGGAAUUGGCGGGGAGCACUGCAACGGGUGGAGCGUGCGGUUU